rnacentral:tRNA from 1 species
GGGGGUAUAUCUCAUCUGGUAGAGCCCGCGCUUUGCACACGAGAUGUCGACUGCUCGUCUCCUCUAACCUCCU